rnacentral:snRNA from 1 species
GUGCUCCCCCCAGCAGUUCACAUACUAAAAUCUGAAGGAUACAGUGAAGAUUAGCGUGGCCCCUGUGCAAGGAUGACACACAGGUUCAUGCAUCAUUCUGUAAUUUU